rnacentral:rRNA from 1 species
AUUGAACGCUGGCGGCAUGCCUUACACAUGCAAGUCGAACGGUAACAGGUCUUCGGAUGCUGACGAGUGGCGAACGGGUGAGUAAUACAUCGGAACGUGCCUAGUAGUGGGGGAUAACUACUCGAAAGAGUGGCUAAUACCGCAUGAGAUCUACGGAUGAAAGCAGGGGAUCGCAAGACCUUGUGCUACUAGAGCGGCCGAUGGCAGAUUAGGUAGUUGGUGGGAUAAAAGCUUACCAAGCCGACGAUCUGUAGCUGGUCUGAGAGGACGAUCAGCCACACUGGGACUGGGACACGGCCCAGACUCCUACGGGAGGCAGCAGUGGGGAAUUUUGGACAAUGGGCGCAAGCCUGAUUCAGCAAUGCCGCGUGCAGGAUGAAGGCCUUCGGGUUGUAAACUGCUUUUGUACGGAACGAAAAGCCCUGGGUUAAUACCCUGGGGUCAUGACGGUACCGUAAGAAUAAGCACCGGCUAACUACGUGCCAGCCGCCGCAGUAAGAC